AUGCAUGAAAGGCGAAGAUAACAAACAGUGAUCAAUCUCAUAACUCCUAUAAGCAAUACAAAAUAGAGAGUUGGGCAAACAUUGACCCCUGGAUAUACCAGAGGUAGGAUCAGGUGCCUAGGAGUAGUACGCAUAUCACUAUAAACUCAACCAAGCGCAUGAAUUAUAUUCCCUUUAUAAGCGGUUUGUCCAUCUCAGCGAUAACCAUAAGCUUUAGGUCCCAGGUCUGGUAUGUCCAUGGGUCCGUGUUUGCCCAACUCUCAGUCUCUAUUUUGUAUUGCUUAUAGGAGUUAUGAGAUUGAUCACUGUUCGUUAUCUUCACCUUUCUGUAUAAGAAUCUGACUUAAAUAGGUUUAUUGAUGAGAUGUCUACGUAUGCAUAUUUUCUGUAGAUUCUAAAAUGUACGCGAGGAAUUAAUCAUCGUGUUAUUUAGCAAGAAGCAUCACACAAUAAAUGAAAUUACUCGCUUAUUGUAUUUAUAUAGCUGAAAUACAUGUAAAAAUGCAUCAACAUUUCACUCGCGAAUUCAUAUUUCUAGUAUAUGACGUCUAGGAGAUAUAAAGUUAUAUUACGACAACAAAAUAUACAAAAAUAAUUGUUUGGAGGCUCAUUCAGAAUAAAACACUUACUUCUAUAUUGUAUGAUUCUUAGCUGGGCUAUUACUUUGAAAUCCUGAUACAGAAAAAUAGAGCCAUAAUAUUGACGGCACUUGAGCAAGAAUUUGACUUUAUUUCCGAAGUACCAUCAAGCGACUUUAAACAUGGCAACCUAAACGGACAAAAAGAAUCCCGAUCAACAAAUUCCAGUGGAAGGAGAGAUACUCCACCAAUCGGGAAAUUAAUCCAUCAAGAAACUUCUCCACCAAGAGAAAAAUAGAUCAUCCAAGAAACGAGCAAAAAAAAAAGCAAACUAAUGUAUUAUCAACUACAGAUAGGUCAUAUGGCGAUCAUUACAUGUAUUAGUAGUAAAGGGCCAAUAUAGAAGAGAAAUUAAGACUAGUACUUAUCAAUCUUAAUCCAAAUCACAAAGAGGACCAAAGUCUUAAAGUGGAUUGACACAGAAUCUAACAUUUCUUGGAUUUACCAUCAAACGAUGUCAAAUAGGAUCAGUGUCCAUUAAUAGCGUGGAAGAAAUUGAUACACAAAGAGGUAAAUAAAUGUAUCAAGAGAGAAAUGGCUCCAUCUGGAGAAAUGACUCAACCCAGAGAGAAGUGAUAUCAGUCAGGGAAAAUGAUUCAACCAAGAGAGAAGUGAUAUCAGUCAGGGAAAAUUAUUCCAUCAAAUGAUAGAACAGACUCCACCAAGAGAGAUUAUCAUGUAUGGAAAGUUCUAGGAAAGAUCUAAUAAACCUAUAUUUGGGUCAAAUUAUGGAACGCCGUUUCUGCCUUAUAGUGUAAAUCAGCCUUACGUUAUGUCGAUACAUCUUUAUGUUAUGUGGUUACAUCAUUACGUUAUGUGGUUACAUCAUUAUGUUAUGUCGAUACAUCUUUAUGUUAUGUGGUUACAUCAUUACGUUAUGUGCAAACAUCUUUAUGUUAUGUGCAAACAUCUUUAUGUUAUGUGGUUACAUCAUUAUGUUAUGUGGUUAUAUCAUUACGUUAUGUGGUUACAUCAUUACGUUAUGUGGUCACAUCAUUACGUUAUGUGCAAACAUCUUUAUGUUAUGUGGUUACAUCAUAAUGUUAUGUGGUUACAUCAUUACGUUAUGUCGAUACAUCUUUAUGUUAUGUGGUUAAAUCAUCACGUUAUGUGGUUACAUCAUUAUGUUAUAUGUGCAAACAUAAUAGGGUCGGAAAGUCUCGUUUACUUUCACUUUCGAUUUACUACUUCCGGGCAGCUGUCGAAAAAUGUCACUUUGUUUUGCUUUGGUAAUGCUCAGAUGACAGCGUUAAACUGAACCUACAGCCUAUAUAGAUUCCCUACUUAUGCAAAGAGAGGAAGAAGUGGAUUUAUAGAUGCAGAUGCUGUUAUAUACAUCAUUACCGUCAGAAGUAUCAAUGUGUUGGUGGCUGUUAUGAAGAGAAUGGGCCCAUUUUAACAACUUCUAGGAUGGGCGGUACAAGGGUUCAUACCAGUGACCAAUGAAGCACAGCUGUUACAAGACCAGGAAGAGUCAAAUUCAUGUGGAGUGUGCAAUUGAAUUUAAUUAAAAACAUCCAUAUUCUAAAUCAUAUACCUUCACAAUACAGACAUAUAUAUCUGUCCACUAAGAUUUUCAACUCUGUGUAACUCUUGUACAUUUGCAAAUCCUCUACUGAAGGAAAUAGCUGAUAUGAAUUUCACAAUUAAUUAAAUCUUACCUUUGGACUUAGAUACUAUAAAUGUACAACUUCUUACUCACAUUAUUCUGGAUUGUCAAGUUGUAUUAAAUGCAUUCAAGUAAAUGAUAAAGUGAACAUUUAUUUAAGGUUGCUAGUCAAAGAAAUUGUUACAAUGGUGAUUCAUGCACAUCUUCACACUGAUCAUUUGUAGCAAAAACAAAAUAAAACUAAUGGAAGACAUUUGAA